GAUGAACGCUGGCGGCGUGCCUAAUACAUGCAAGUCGAGCGAACAGAUGAGGAGCUUGCUCCUCUGACGUUAGCGGCGGACGGGUGAGUAACACGUGGAUAACCUACCUAUAAGACUGGGAUAACUUCGGGAAACCGGAGCUAAUACCGGAUAAUAUAUUGAACCGCAUGGUUCAAUAGUGAAAGACGGUUUUGCUGUCACUUAUAGAUGGAUCCGCGCCGCAUUAGCUAGUUGGUAAGGUAACGGCUUACCAAGGCAACGAUGCGUAGCCGACCUGAGAGGGUGAUCGACCUCACUGGAACUGAGACACGGUCCAGACUCCUACGGGAGGCAGCAGUAGGGAAUCUUCCGCAAUGGGCGAAAGCCUGACGGAGCAACGCCGCGUGAGUGAUGAAGGUCUUCGGAUCGUAAAACUCUGUUAUUAGGGAAGAACAAAUGUGUAAGUAACUAUGCACGUCUUGACGGUACCUAAUCAGAAAGCCACGGCUAACUACGUG
rnacentral:rRNA from 1 species